rnacentral:rRNA from 1 species
UUCCUACGGGGCGCAGCAGUAGGGAAUUUUCGUCAAUGGGCGCAAGCCUGAACGAGCAAUGCCGCGUGAACGAGGAAGGUCUUCGGAUCGUAAAGUUCUGUUGAAGGGGAAAAAGAGCGGAGAGAGGAAAUGAACUCCGAUUGAUAUUACCCUUCGAGGAAGUCACGGCUAACUACGUGCCAGCAGCCGCGGUAAUACGUAGGUGGCGAGCGUUAUCCGGAUUUAAUGGGUGUAAAGGGAGCGUAGGCGGCCUGGCAAGCCUGAUGUGAAAUACCGGGGCCCAACCCCGGGGCUGCAUUGGGAGA